CUGUGGGAGCUCUUGAAGCUACAAGCACAGUAUUUCAUUCCUGCUAGAGUCCAUGUGGAGCAGUCCUGAGAUAAGUGCUUCGGCCUGAGGCUAGAGAUGGAAUUGAGACCUGACCUUGGACAGGAGGAGCUGGACAAGCACAGGGCCUUCCACCUGGAAAGGUCGUGAGGAAGCAGGGUCCACAUACAACCUGGGGUUCAGGGAGGUCUGGGCCAGAGAUGAAAAUGUGUGAGCCAGCCGCCGGCCAAAGGCAGAGUCACAAGAGAGCGUGAAUCUCAUCAAGGAGUGCAGCAGGUAGGAAGGCUUUUGUUAGCACUCCUUCAUGUCUGAUACAUACGUAAUUUCCAUCACGUCCUUUUCCAGACGUGUUGGAAGUGCACUGGUCCUGGACCUGCUCCCGCUCUAAUCGGCCUCAUAAACAUGUUUUCUGCGGCGCUUCUCUCACCUCUUAUUUAUGCGCCUCAGGUUCCAAAGUCCCGUCUCCAGAUUGCCUGUGCAUCCACCUGCCUUCACAGCCUUCAGCUCCCUUUAUCAGUAAGCUAAAGAGACCAGUGUCGGUGCCAGUGUUUCGUGGGAUCCUCUGUUUCAGAGCUAGGCUAGGUGGCUUCAGGAUGGCAAGUCCCUGCCAGGAGACACCACGUCCAGGCCAGUGAGGAGGUCACGCCUGUUCUCAACCACAACCCGCGGGGCCCAGGCUGUGGAGCACAGUGCCGUGUAGGGACCACUGGGCGCUCACCUCGAAUCCUGACGCUGCACCCCGAAUGAAUCAGUCCCAGCAGAGCCGGCGUGUGAGGCUCUGCAGACAUAGUCCCAUCAGGAAGGUAGAUUCCAGCAGAAGCUUUGUCACAAGUGGCAUGGCUGCAGCCACCACAGCUGGGCGUGGUAGGGAAACCUGGAUCUGCCAGGGGGACCAGCACAUGGCUUUGGGAGAGAAGCUCUAAGAAUCAUGAAACUUUACCAAACACUGAAACCUUCUCAACUGCAGAGCUCGCUCGUGAUGAGCCCAGCCCGCCUCCCCGGGGAGUGAGGCCCCACACGGCUGUGAGCAGCCCGGACUCCUCCAUCCCGCACCGCAUUCCUGCUGCUUCUCCUCAGCCGCAGUUGCUGCAGCCUCACCCAGAUCGUCCCGGUGUAAAUGCUGGGAAAAUAAACCCGCGCGUCUCAUUUCCGCACAGCCCACGCUCCAAAGUAUAAAUGUUUUCCUUUAAUGAGGUACACAAAAGCCUUUGUGGAAGUGUAAAUAACAAGUUUUACUUUGAAAGCAACCAUUCUCACCCCACAGCUACUGUGCACCCUACAGUCCCUCACACCGCGGCAAGCGGCACGGAAGCGUCAGAGCGGAUCCCAUGACACUCAUGCGCUAUUCAUGCAAUGGAGGUUGCUAAGGAGGCCGCUUCCUCAGGCAGGACGGGAAGAGGAGAAUUAAAAUGCACAACUUAGAUUCAUCUACAGAAAUGUAUUCCAGUUGUAAACUAAUCGCUAUGCUUGGGAAAUGGUAGCCUCCUCAAAAAUGUAUACACGAGGAAAAGAAAAAUGUGCACAAAUUUGUAAUACCAAACUUACUGAGACACUGCAAGAUCAACACAAGUUUCCUUUGGCCUCUACAAUCACAAGGGCUCUCCAGGUGGUGGCCACAAGCAAGCAGAUGUCCAUUAGUACAGUGAACUGCUGAUGUGUGUUGGACUCUAUUGUAGCUCUACUAGGGAACAGAUUCUGAAUUUUGCACUUUGAAAAGGAGCGUUUCUAUGAUGUCAUCUGAACCUGUCUCUGAGCACAGCAACAUCAUCGGCAGAAUGAGGUGUUUCAGUGUCUCCCUGAACCUUCAUCAAGGAGACACUUAGAGGCGACCAUAGAAAAGUACAUGGGCUCUCAGAGGAGUCAUGGGAAGAGGCCCCGAGGAACGUGCCGCACCAGGCUAGCCUGGUCCCUGAUGCUGUCCUUUUCUAUUCUUUUUUUUUUUUUUUGGUACCAGGGAUUGAACUCCGGUCCUUGCGCUCGCAAGGCAGGCCACCGAACCACUGAGCUAAAUC
ensembl:lincRNA